CCCUGUUGCCUGGGGAGAGGGUGAUGUUUGACUUUCUUGUACAGCUGCAGUUUGUGUGGUGAAGGUGCUCCCACAAUGUGGUUGGAUCCCAGUGAUUAAUGCCAAAGCCCCAUUGCCUGUGGAGAGGGUGAUGUUUGACUUCCUUGUACAGCUGCAGUUUGUGUGGUGAAGGUGCUCCCACAAUGUGGUUGGGUGGACAUUCAGAUGGUAACCUCAGUAUUUGUAAGACCAAACUCUGACAGAAUUACUCAAUUCACCA